CUGUUAGAUCAUAAGAAUUAAAGCCCACAGCCUCAGAGGCGGCCCUGUAGUUUUCAUCUCCUUCACACCGAAGUUAUGGUUUCUGUUCUUCUGAAAAAUCCGAGACCGAUCAAAAAUAAUUCUGUGUACUCACACAGCUUCAAUGGUGUUUCAAUAGGUUAGAUGAGUGAGAUCGAUAUCAAGAAUCUCUUCGUUUGUCUCCACCCGCGUCGUUUAGCCUUCUACUUUACUCAACCGAAACGGUCGAGAUGCCGAUUCAGCGCCAACAUCGCCUCUUAACUCCAUAGACGGACGUGUAGCACGACCAUGACAUUGAUUGUGAAUUAUCGCAAUUUCCAAGGUGGUCUAUUCUUCACCUGUAAAAAGGUUUGCUUCCUUCACUUGACCAAUAUCCUUACAGUCUGUGAAAAUUCUAAAUCUGUAUGUAGAUUCUCUGUGAAAUGGCUAACUCAUCCAUUUACUUUCUGAUCUGAAAACUGGUUGCUGCUGCUCCUCCACCGUCUAAGUACGGUUGUCGGGUUCUGGAAAGCUAGGAAUGAACGUGGAGGAGAACUGAUGAUCAUCACACUUUUUCAAUAUAUUUCGUUUAUGGGAGAUGAUUUGAUUUCUAAUUUGAUUGUUGAUUUUGUUUCAAUCUGUUCAUCUAUUGAUUAUUAUUCAGAGCUUUUGUUUGUGACAGAUGAUAGUGGGAGACUGGGAAUGAAAUUUUUUUUUUUAGGAUUCAGGUAAGGUACUGCACCCUCCUAUAAAUCUAUAAUCCUCGAUGGCAGACUCAGAAUAAUCUUGAGAAUAAGUCUUCACGGUUCGGUGAUAACUACCGCUCCGUCGAUGAGGUUGCUUCUGCUCUCUCACAUGCUGGUUUGGAGUUCAUCGAGUGGGCUGAAAGUAACGGUGUUCGUGUUCUGGGGAUUUGCUACGGGUUGCAGCUGGUUGUUCAGAAGCUCGGGGGUGUUGUGGUGGAAGGGGAGAGUAAGGAGUAUGGGAAGAUGGAGAUUGAGGUGACGAAGGGUGAUGAGAGUAAGAUUUUUGGAGAGGGGAGGGUUGGUGAGAAGCAGGUUGUUUGGAUGAGUCAUGGGGAUGAGGCUGUUGAGCUUCCUGAUGGGUUUGAGGCUAUCCCCAUUCAACUUCUCCUCAUUCCUUAAUUCGAAAUAGUUCUAUGUAUAUUGUUUAUGCUGUUUACUUUUUUAAUAAUGGUUCUUUGGCAGAGGGGUGAUAACAACCCAGGAGAUUACAUGCCCGGAGCUAGAGCAGUGGCUAUUAAGUCCUCCCAAACAUCACCAAAGUUCCCCCUGCAACAUCCGCUGGGUUGGAUGCCUGUGGAGAGAUGCAGCUGCUCAAAGAGGCAUCCAUGCAACUGUUGCUGGUGAUGUAACUGAUGAGGAAGCAGGAGUGCAGGAGGAUAGGCGCAUCGGAAAAAAAAACACAUAAUUCUUAGUUUUCUAGCCUAGCGAGUGGCCAAGUCUACAAACGCUUGGAAUAAUAGUUAGGAUUUCAUCGUUUCCUUGCAUCUUUUCGUCGCUGGGUUUUCACAUGUUGUUAUCAUGGCUUGGUCACUACGUUUCCUAUGGGGUCAAAUUUUAAAAUAAACUCAUAUUUUGGUAGUUUAAAACAAACUCAUCAUCACCCUGCAACCCAGCUUGAUAACAGAUGGUUGCUUAUAGAUCUUUUUAUUUAUUUACCAACUCUUAUAGAUA